rnacentral:rRNA from 1 species
UUUAAUUUAAAGUCUAACCUGCCCACUGAUAAUAUUAAAGGGCCGCAGUAUUCUGACUGUGCGAAGGUAGCAUAAUCAAUAGUCUUUUAAUUGGAGGCUUGUAUGAAUGGUUGAAUGAGAUAUAUACUGUCUUUUUUAAAUUUUUAUAGAAUUUUAUUUUUUAAUUAAAAAGUUAAAAUGUAAUUAAAGGACGAGAAGACCCUAUAGAUCUUUAUUUUUGUUGAUUAUAAAUUAAAAAGAAUAUUUAAAUUUAUAUUUUAAUAAAAAAUUUUACUGGGGUGGUAUUAAAAUUUAAAUAACUUUUAUUAUUUAUUUACAUUAAUAUAUGAAUAAUUGAUCCAGUUAUAUUGAUUAAAAAAUUAAGUUACCUUAGGGAUAACAGCGUAAUUUUUUUUUAGAGUUCAUAUCGACAAAAAAGAUUGCGACCUCGAUGUUGGAUUAAGAGUUAUUUUUAGGUGUAGAAGUUUAAAGUUUAGGUCUGUUCGACCUUUGAAUUCUUACGUGAUCUGAGUUCA